rnacentral:lncRNA from 1 species
ACUAGGUUUACAAAAGAUUAGUGGGAGUUAAUCAUGUUCCUAAAAUUUAAAUAUAUAUGAUAUAUUAAUUUUAGAAAUGAAAAGAAUACUUCUUCAUUAAGUUAUAACUUUAAAACAUUAUAUGAAGAUAGAAUGUUUAUGGGAGUUAAUCAUGUUCCUAAAAUUUAAAUAUAUAUGAUAUAUUAAUUUUGGAAAUGAAAAGAAUACUUCUUCUUUAAAGUUAUGACUUUGAAACAUUAUAUGAAGAUAGAAUGUAUAUGGGAGAUAUAGUCUAUAUACAU